UGGGGAAUAUUGCACAAUGGGGGGAACCCUGAUGCAGCGACGCCGCGUGAGGGAAGAAGGUUUUCGGAUUGUAAACCUCUGUCCUUGGUGACGAUAAUGACGGUAGCCAAGGAGGAAGCCACGGCUAACUACGUGCCAGCAGCCGCGGUAAUACGUAGGUGGCAAGCGUUGUCCGGAAUUACUGGGUGUAAAGGGAGCGUAGGCGGGAAGACAAGUUGGGAGUGAAAUGUAUGGGCUUAACCCAUAAACUGCUUUCAAAACUGUUUUUCUUGAGUGAAGUAGAGGCAGGCGGAAUUCCUAGUGUAGCGGUGAAAUGCGUAAAUAUUAGGAGGAACACCAGUGGCGAAGGCGGCCUGCUGGGCUUUAACUGACGCUGAGGCUCGAAAGCGUGGGUAGCAAACAGG
rnacentral:rRNA from 1 species